rnacentral:rRNA from 1 species
CGUGUAGGCGGCCAAACAGGUCCACUGUGAAAACUCGAGGCUCAACCUCGAGACGUCGGUGGAAACCGUCUGGCUAGAGUCCGGAAGAGGAGAGUGGAAUUCCCGGUGUAGCGGUGAAAUGCGCAGAUAUCGGGAAGAACACCCGUGGCGAAGGCGGCUCUCUGGGACGGUACUGACGCUGAGACGCGAAAGCGUGGGGAGAGAAC